AUUCCAGCUCCAAUAGUGUAUCUUAAAGUUGUUGCAGUUAAAAAGCUCGUAGUUGAAUUUCUGACCGGAUAGCCCACCUUAGGGUGGGAUUCGUCUAGGUCAUCCGCAUAGGGAUAUUUGUUAGGCAUUCACUUGUCGGCAUUUGGAACUAGCAUUUUACUUUGAAGAAAUUAGAGUGUUCAUGGCAGGCUAUGCUUGAAUACAUCAGCAUGGAAUAAUGGAAUAGGACAAGAUUCAUUUUAUUGGUUAUUGAGUUUUGUAAUGAUUAACAGGGACAGUUGGGGGCAUUCGUAUUCAUUUGUCAGAGGUGGAAUUCACAGAUUAAUUGAAGACGAACUAAUGCGAAAGCAUUUGCCAAGGAUGUUUUCAUUG
rnacentral:rRNA from 1 species